rnacentral:rRNA from 1 species
UACGUAGGUGGCAAGCGUUGUCCGGAUUUACUGGGCGUAAAGAGCGCGCAGGCGGUCGUUCAAGUCGCGUGUGAAAGCCCCCGGCUCAACUGGGGAGGGUCACGCGAUACUGAUCGACUCGAAGGCAGGAGAGGGUAGUGGAAUUCCCGGUGUAGUGGUGAAAUGCGUAGAUAUCGGGAGGAACACCUGAGGCGAAGGCGGGUUACUGGGCUGAUACUGACGCUGAUGCGCGAAAGCCAGGGGAGCAAACGGG